GAUGAACGCUGGCGGCGUGCCUAAUACAUGCAAGUCGAGCGAACAGACGAGGAGCUUGCUCCUCUGACGUUAGCGGCGGACGGGUGAGUAACACGUGGAUAACCUACCUAUAAGACUGGGAUAACUUCGGGAAACCGGAGCUAAUACCGGAUAAUAUAUUGAACUGCAUGGUUCAAUAGUGAAAGACGGUUUUGCUGUCACUUAUAGAUGGAUCCGCGCCGCAUUAGCUAGUUGGUAAGGUAACGGCUUACCAAGGCGACGAUGCGUAGCCGACCUGAGAGGGUGAUCGGCCACACUGGAACUGAGACACGGUCCAGACUCCUACGGGAGGCAGCAGUAGGGAAUAUUCCGCAAUGGGCGAAAGCCUGACGGAGCAACGCCGCGUGAGUGAUGAAGGUCUUCGGAUCGUAAAACUCUGUUAUUAGGGAAGAACAAAUGUGUAAGUAACUAUGCACGUCUUGACGGUACCUAAUCAGAAAGCCACGGCUAACUACGUG
rnacentral:rRNA from 1 species